AUUCUGAGGGCUUCUCCUCCCCUUCCUGGUUCCCUUCAUUCCAUCAACUCUGUCUCUUUCCUCUCUUUCAUUAUUUUCUUCCAAAAUUCCUCUUAACAGACUAUAAACUUAUUGAGGAUAUUAAGACCUAUUCUCUACUUCUAGAAAAUCUCUGUAAGCCAGUACAAGGCUUAACAUUCAAUAAGUACUUGAUAGAUAAUAUUAAUAUCCAACUAACUGACUUCCAUAAUAUUAACUUAUCUCAAACUUUGAUCCAGUAUCUCUCCAGCCCAGUCAUCUAUAGUGCAGAUGAUUAUUAAUAUAUUGCAGAUUUAUUGGUUAUGAUUCAAGAGUAUAGACUAUCACACAAUAAGGCUGCAUUAUAAUCUGAAGCAAUUGACUAUGACAUAGAAUGGUAGAGUUGAAAGAGGCCAUGAAUAUUAUCUAAUCCAAUGCCAUGAGGAAAUUGAGGCUCAGGAACUCUUUAAGUGAAAAUUAUACAUCAAUUCAACCUCCCAAGACACCAUUUAUUUCCUAUUUGAUCAAUAACCUUCUCUUCAAACCUGUGAAAAAAAUCCUUCGCAAUCAUAAAAUAGUGGAUAUUUAAAAUGUGUUGACUAAUGGUAUGUUUAAAUCAACUUUUAAGAAAAAUCACUUUGGUGGCUGUUUGCAGAAUGGAUUGGAAUGAAGAGAGGUAUGAAAAAAACAGGCCAUAUGCUUAAAGUAAAAAAAAAAACAAAAAAACACA